GUCGUGGUUGUCGGUGCGGGUGAACGACCGUUCCGGCUCCGGCUCGGGGUCGGGUGGUUCGGGGCGGGGUUCUAGUCUCACCGCGGUCC
rnacentral:tRNA from 1 species